rnacentral:lncRNA from 1 species
GUGUGGGGGAUGGAGGGAAAUCAGGAGGCAUCCUGGGCACAAGCCAGGGUAGAUGUGGGUGUUUGAUGUGGGCAAGUGAGGCGGGCUGGGUCGGCCAGUGCUCUUGUUUUCUAUGCUUGCUCCAGUCACCCCCUCAACCUCUAGUUCCUUUUCUUUUUUCUUUUCUUUUCUUUUCUUUUCUUUUCUUUUCUUUUCUUUUCUUUUCUUUCUUUUUUGUUUUUGUCUUUUUGUUACCCAACGUUUUUUUUAAGCAGUAUUUUAUUAGAAAAGGUUUAAAAUUAUUUUUGCCCGUUUUUUACCCUCUCCCUGGUUUACUUUAGCUGGAAUUUUUAUUCAUGUAUUUUUGAGUAGGCAAUGCAUGCACACAUGUGUUCUUACCUAAAAGGAGUGUAAGAAAGCUGGGUGGGGGUGACACAAGCCUUUUACCCCAUCACGUGGGAGGCAGAGAUAGGUGGAUCUCUCUGAGAUUAAGGCCAGCCAGGUUCACAGUGUGUUCCAAGGAGCAGUGUAGUGGGACCCUGCCUCAAAAGACAAAACAAACAAGCAAACAAACAACCCAAAAAACAAAAACAAAAUGUAAUCAGGUCUGGAUUAAGUCAGCUUCUCAUGCCGGUCUGAACGCUCCCCACAUCUGGGUUCUGUGUAUGCCCCCCACCAGUGUUAACUCUUUCGUCAACUGCCCACACCUGAGCUGAGCCCAUCUUGAGCCUUUGGCUUCAGCCCCCCCUAGCAUGGAAGCCUUGCCAGGGCCAUAGGCAUCCCCUCCAGACCAGGCUACCCAUCUUCAGAGAAGGCAGAGACUGCAGGCUCAGGGAUAUCUCAGCUCUGGAUUCUGUCCAGCCGUUCCCAAACCUGCAGUUUUAAGUGCUGCUGCUUCUAACUCCAGUCAGAGCCUUCCACGCUGUUCUUCAUCUGGCUUUCUGUGGUUUCUCCGAGUUGUUUUGAUCCCGAGACCAUGAGUCGGCACGUCCCCCUCCCGUCACGUAAGGGAGAGUCUUUUUCUGGCAGAGAGGAGUAAGUUAGGAAACACAGGUGCUUUGAAUUGCACAGUUCUUGGAAUUCACACAGUCUUGGAGCUCAGAUGAGAUUUUUAAGGAUUAUCUAUGUUCCUUUAUUUUUUUUUUAAUGGUAUAUAGAGAAUUCAUCCCUAGAAAGUAACUUAUAAUGUCACAUCUCCACCCCUGCAACACACAAUGUCCUCACACUCAAAGGAACCCUGGUGGAAUAGUAUGUGGUAGAUUGUGACUUUCUGUGAGGCUCCUCCCCCAACCAAUAUCCUGGAAGAGGAGGGAAACGCUCAAUUCAGCUAUGAGAGGAAUGCUUGCGCCUUGGGCAUCCACAGUAGCUGGAUUGUGGGACUGUGUGCCCUGCCUAGGCCUGGGGCUGACUUCUUAGCUGGCCUUCAAAGGACAGAUCGCCAUUGAACUCUGGGCAAUACCCAAAAGUAGCUCGAGGAAGCAGAGAGCUGUGUUUCUGCAGUGCUCACCAUCGAUCCAUAGCAUUUGAAGCUAUUUUUCUCUGCAAGCGUCCACAAAAUUCAUUACUUUACAAUGAGCCUGGCAGGGACUGCAGCAGCCGUAAACUCUACACGGGUCCCAGGCUCUCUCUCUCCUGGAAUUUUGCCUUGGCAGGUAAAUCAAAUACCCAGUAAACACACUUGUGAACUUCUCCAAAGCCGCUUCUUUCUGUGGCCUUGGCUGUCCCUCACGGGUGGCCUUUCAUUUUCCUGGGCUUGGCCUGCUUCCUCCAUGCACUGGGGUUGAGCCCUGUGGCUGUACAGGUAUGGCCAGCUAAUCCUGCCAGACAAGGUCAGCAACAAUUAAUGGGCAUAAUCUCUCUCUUUUUUUUUUUUACCUGCUAGAGCCAGACUUUCUUUGGUGUCUCUCCUAAGUCUGGAGAAAGGACUGAGAGGAGAAUUGAACUUACCCUUCGGAUGCACAUACCCAUUCACUGCUCUGUGGGUCUGUGCUGCCCCACCCCCACCCCGCCCCCGGGCUGCUCAUUAUGAAUGCUGAAGCCUUAGGUGGCAGUUAUGUUGGAGCUGGUGCUGGAGACGCUGCUUAAAUGCUAUCUCUCGCGCACUGCCCGAUAGCAGUGAUAGCAGUCUGCCUUGUUGCCGUCACCACGGGAUGCUGGCCCCCUCCUCAGAUCCCUAUCUUACCUUGCUGUACACAAAAGAGCUCCUCUCUGGGGGUUCUGAGUUUUGGUUCUC